rnacentral:rRNA from 1 species
UUCGCAAUGCCCGAAAGGGUGACGAAGCGACGCCGCGUGAGCGAAGAAGGCCCUAGGGUUGUAAAGCUCUGUCGAGGGUUAUGAAAUAUAGAUGGGUUAAUACCCCAUUUAUUUGACAAAAGCCCAAAAGGAAGCCACGGCUAACUCUGUGCCAGCAGCCGCGGUAAUACAGAGGUGGCGAGCGUUGUUCGGUAUUAUUGGGCGUAAAGAGCACGUAGGUGGUUUUGUAAGUCAGGUGUGAAAGCCUUCUGUUCAAAGGAAGAACGGCAUCUGAAACUGCAGAUCUUGAGUGUAGGAGGGGAGAGUGGAACUUCUGGUGGAGCGGUGAAAUGCGUAGAUAUCAGGAGGAACGCCGGAAGCGAAAGCGGUUCUCUGGCCCACUACUGACGCUGAGGUGCGAAAGCUAGGGGAGCAAACAGGAUUAGAUACCCUGGUAGUCCUAGCCGUAAACGAUGGGCACUAAGUAGAGGGGUUUU